UAAAGGACAUGCAGAAUACAAUAAGCCAUGCAGGAGUGGUGUGUUUCUGGGGGAAUGGAGGACAAGGGACUGCUUCUGUUUUAGAAGGACUCUCUCCACGUUAGUCAAAUUGUAUUAUGAUUUACAUUCUAAUAAUGAAAACUUUACUUUCAGCUUUUUCAGCUUUGGAUUUUAAUAGUUUGACCUUCAGUAAUGAGAUUCACGAAAGAUCUGAGAAUUUGAAAGUUGGUGAUCUAUGUCCACUUGUAUCUCCACCAAUGACCAAAACUGUGUUGGGAUCCACAGACUUGGGGCAGAUGAACUUAAUAGAUCAAGAAAAGAUGACCACUGCAGCUGCAUUUCUAUUUUGGAAUCACACUCUCCAUGACCUGUGUGAGUUACAGCUACCAGAAAACAAAGAGAGCAAAGAAGCAGAACAAGAUUUAGAAGUGACAUCACAGCAAGAGCCAGAAAGGCUUGAAGGAAGUGAAAACAACAAGCCACAGGCUGAGGGAGAAAGGAAGAAGCAUGCAAGGAAUGAAACAGAAGCAUCAAGAGACCUACAUGAUGGCUCCACUGAUGACCAUAUUGAUGACGGGUUACUUCAACAAGGACAGAGUGGAGAAACUGAUGGUCAGCACAUUCCUAGGACGGAGCAUGAAGAGUGCGAUAGUAGUGUCCCUGCCUUGCAUAUGAAGAAAGUAAAGAAAAAUGAACAUGAAGAAUGGAUCACAACAGAAUCUGUGACUCCGCUAGUAUUUAAGAAGGCCGAUUUAAUAACUCAUGAUCUGCUGCAAGUGACUGAUGACAGCAGUUUAACUGAAAUAGAUGAGGAAGAAAGAAGGUAAAGUUGAUGCGUUGUUUAUUUCUCUGUAAAGGAACAUUAGCAGUGAUUACUUUUUCUGAAAAUAGAAUAGUGAAAUACUUCAAAGCUACAGAAUACUCAACAGUAGCAAUGCUGCUGAAAGAUCGAUUAAGAUAAGGAUGAAUGGGUUUGACAAGGAGCAGUUUCAAUAAAUGAUCACCAUGGAACCCUGACUCCAGUGGAUGACAGUAGACAUUUCUCUCGAGAAAGGCAACAAAGAAAUGGGUAAUAAGUGAAGAGGAAUAUGGGAUUCAAGGGUGUUUUCUUCUUUUAUUUUAAAAUAGAAGCUUUUAGAGUAUGUUUGUAUUCUUUUGUAAUUGAUCCAGUAGAGAAGGG
rnacentral:lncRNA from 1 species